rnacentral:rRNA from 1 species
AGUGAACGCUGGCGGUAGGCCUAACACAUGCAAGUCGAACGGCAGCACAGUAAGAGCUUGCUCUUACGGGUGGCGAGUGGCGGAUGGGUGAGGAAUACAUCGGAACCUACUUUUUCGUGGGGGAUAACGUAGGGAAACUUACGCUAAUACCGCAUACGACCUACGGGUGAAAGCAGGGGAUCUUCGGACCUUGCGCGAUUGACUGAGCCGAUGUCGGAUUAGCUAGUUGGCGGGGUAAAGGCCCACCAAGGCGACGAUCCGUAGCUGGUCUGAGAGGAUGAUCAGCCACACUGGAACUGAGACACGGUCCAGACUCCUACGGGAGGCAGCAGUGGGGAAUAUUGGACAAUGGGCGCAAGCCUGAUCCAGCCAUACCGCGUGGGUGAAGAAGGCCUUCGGGUUGUAAAGCCCUUUUGUUGGGAAAGAAAAGCAGCAGGUUAAUACCCCGCUGUGCUGACGGUACCCAAAGAAGAAGCACCGGCUAACUUCGUG